rnacentral:rRNA from 1 species
AGAGUUUGAUCCUGGCUCAGGAUUAACGCUGGCGGCAUGCCUAAUACAUGCAAGUCGAACGAAAGUAGCAAUACUUUAGUGGCGAACGGGUGAGUAACACGUAGGAAACCUACCUCAAAGACGAGGAUAACUACUGGAAACGGUAGCUAAAACUGGAUAGGAUAUACGAAGGCAUCUUUGUAUAUUUAAAAGUCCUUCUGGGAAUGCUAUGAGAUGGUCCUGCGGCGCAUUAGCUAGUUGGUGAGGUAAAGGCCCACCAAGGCGACGAUGCGUAGCUGUGCUGAGAGGCAAAACAGCCACACUGGGACUGAGACACGGCCCAGACUCCUACGGGAGGCAGCAGUAGGGAAUUUUCGGCAAUGGGCGAAAGCCUGACCGAGCAAUGCCGCGUGAAUGAAGAAAUUCUUCGGAAUGUAAAAUUCUGUGGUGAGGGAAGAAAAGUAUUAGAAGGAAAUGGCUAAUAUUUGACGGUACCUUACUAGAAAGCCCCGGCUAACUAUGUGCCAGCAGCCGCGGUAAUACAUAGGGGGCAAGCGUUAUCCGGAAUUAUUGGGCGUAAAGCGUGCGUAGGCGGCCACUUAAGUCUGUCGUGAAAGCCCACAGCUUAACUGUGGAGGGUCGAUGGAAACUGGGAGGCUUGAAUCUAGGAGAGGUAAGUGGAAUUCCAUGUGUAGCGGUAAAAUGCUUAGAUAUAUGGAGGAACACCAGUGGCGAAGGCGGCUUACUGGUCUAGAAUUGACGCUGAUGCACGAAAGCGUGGGUAGCAAACAGGAUUAGAUACCCUGGUAGUCCACGCCGUAAACGAUGAGCACUAAGUGUCGGACGUAAGUUCGGUGCUGAAGUUAACGCAUUAAGUGCUCCGCCUGGGGAGUACGGUCGCAAGACUGAAACUCAAAGGAAUUGACGGGGACUCGCACAAGCGGUGGAGCAUGUGGUUUAAUUCGACGCAACGCGAAAAACCUUACCAGGCCUUGACAUACCGAUGACGUCUUUAGAGAUAGAGAGUUACCUUCGGGUACAUUGGAUACAGGUGGUGCAUGGUUGUCGUCAGCUCGUGUCGUGAGAUGUUGGGUUAAGUCCC